UUUUUUUUUUUUUUUUUUUUUAACCUCAGUAAAGAGAAAAGUGAGGAAGCAACUUAUGGUACAUCCAAACAAAGCCAGCCAUAAAGAUCUUAUUAGUAGGGAAGACCAUAAAACUGAAGAGUCUCACUUGGCAUGGGAUGGACAGGAUCAGUUAAAUUAGGACACGGGCUAUACUACUUUUGUAAUCUGCACUCCUACAGAAUGACAGAUGCCACCUAUGACAAGAGCAAGCGUAUCUGCAGAUGGAGCCUACAACAUUCACAACAGAAGAUAAACAUAGUGUUAUAAACCAAGUUUCCCUACAUACAAACGUCAGACGGCGACUCACUGGAGUUCAGGAACAAGAGCAAAAGGCAAGGAAAAGGAACAUCUUAUCACUGCUCCCAAAGCAUCUGCAUCUGUUUCAUAAAACCCAGCUUCAGAAUGUGCUCAUUUUCCCAUACUGUGAUGACCUCUGGAAGACCCUCCCAAUCUCAACCAUUCCACAGUUCUGUUUCCUGCAAACUGUUAAACGUUUUCAUAAAACAUACUUACAUCAAUGCCAUUGAUGAAAAGUAUUCUUCUGAAUUCCACUUAAAGCCUUACAUAUAUAACAUAGUAAAGCAGGUUCAAUAAAAAUAAUAAUAAUAAUGAAACACUAUAAUAACAAUAAAAGACAGAAACAUAACAACGCAGCACAGAAAAUUACUUGUAAAGUGCUUUGUCUUGAAAAAAAUGUCAAUAUGAAAAGUCCUCUUUUUUUUUUUUUUUUGCCCAGGUCUUCAUGAUAUCCCAUAAUAACUUGAUAUCUUCUUGAUAUACCAUGGUAAUAACUAAAGUAGCCACCCUUACUCAAAGAAUACAACUAUAGAGACCAAAUGCCUUUCUAACUAAGAUUUUUCAAUCACGUAUCUGGUUAAUAGAAUCACAAAAAAGUAUGGAAUUUUAUUCUUCUUUGUCCACUCAUAUAUUUUAUUUAUCCCAGAACAUAAAUAGCCACACUGUCUAUGUUUACUGAUAACUUCAGCAAUAUUUAAGUUCUUAGAAGAGAUCACUACAUGAAAAAAUAUGGAAGCUUGCAGUUCAUAAACAAAUAUAUAAAUCAGCAAAUGAAGAACUGUGAAAGAUAAUUAUCUUCAAUUGAUUGAAGAGCCCAAAAUUAGAAUGGUUUGAUCUAUUGUUUUAUUUUUGAAACCAACACCACUGUUUAUAUUAGCAUAUAUAUGAAACAAUUUGAAGGAACAAAAUCAGAUAUUUAAUGUUUACCAGAGAAACUGGAAACUGAUCCAAAUUUCACAUAAAGAAAAUAGGCUAACAAAAAUAAGGAAUAUAGAAACAUUUGGAAGUACUAAUCUACCUUAGAAUAUUAAAAUGAGCCAAGUAUAAGACUCCGUUCUAUUUGUUCUAUUUCUAUGUUCUAUGUGAAUGUCAAGUAAAUGAAUGUCAUGACCUCUUGACCAAUAAAAAAAAAAAAAGUAACCUUAUUGAAUGUAUUGCCAUUAAAUGUUCUGGAAUGUUGAUACUCAAAUAAUUUGGGGGGGGGGGGGGAGGGGGAGAAGGAACACGUAAAUGAUAUCAGAAGUAACAGAAGAGG